rnacentral:lncRNA from 1 species
GGGGACAGCAAAAUGUUUGACCGUGUUAAGCUACAGACCAUAAGAGGAGAAGACUGGACCUGCUACAGGGAUACUUCACCAGGAAUAACUCUCAGACAGUUAACUUCCCACUAAUGCAGCACAAAACAAUGGGACUGAGGACAAGAGCCAGUGUCAAGAGUUUCAGCCAGCAUUGCACCUACUCAGAGAACGGAAAGCUUUGUCAGACUUUUCCACAUGCCCAAACAGCUCGCAUUUGGUACAAAGCCCUCCUGCACUGAGGAAGGAAAAUAUGAUCUGCAAGGCAGGAGAAAACAAAUCUCUAGACAGUAAUUCAUACAGCAUGGAUUUGAACAGGAAGAGGAUUCACUUUUAUGCUCUUGAGACUCAAAUGCUUACCAUAACGAUUUCCCAGAGCGUACCAGUGCACUUGGUGUCAAUGAAGGCUAAUUCGACAGUGUUAUCUUCAGAUACAAAAAGCAUCAUAUACCACCUCUCUGACACUCAGGAAGAAUAAUCUGUGAGCAUUUUACAUCUUUGUAUCUCAAUACACUUUGAAAAAAAGAAAGUGUAAGUGAUCUCAUCCAUACCUUACCUAACAAGGAACUGAAGAACAGAAGAGACUCAGGGUAUGUGUUACAUGUGCUAGAAGCACAAAGAACAUGUCCUUUCUAAAUAUUAGCCCUCUCUGUCUUUCUCUUCCCCUUACUUUCCUCCUUUUGUAUUAGGAAGUGUGCUGUCAAUGACUCUCUUACAACUGACCACAUAAUAUUACAAAUGUCAAGAUACUGAAAACUAAACAACUGGAAAAAAGCAACUGCAAAGUGAGACUGUUAUUAAGUUUUUCUUUU